GGUUGUGUAGUGUAGCGGUUAUCACUCCGGAUUCUGAUUCGAACAAUAUCUUCCGGCAACCCCGGUUCGAUUCCGGGCACGACCU